rnacentral:lncRNA from 1 species
AGAUGUUAUGGAGAAGCUAUCAGAGUUAUAUUUAGGUGGGACUGCAAUUAAAGAACUGCCUUCAUCAAUUAAUAAACUCACGGGCCUUGCUACUUUGGACCUACGAGGCUGUCGAGAACUCAAGAGCCUGCCGAGCAGCAUUCAUAUGGGAUCUCUUCAAACCUUUAAUCUUUCUGGUUGCUCAAACCUUGAGAUGUUUCCAGUGAUUUCAGAAGUUAUGGAGGAGCUAUCAGAGCUUCAUUUAGAUGGGAUUGCAAUUAAAGAACUGCCUUCGUCAAUUAAUAAACUCACGGGCCUUACUGUUUUGGACCUAUCUGGGUGUCAAGAACUCAAGAGCCUGCCGAGCAGCAUUCAUAUGAGAUCUCUUCAAACCCUUAAUCUUUCUGGUUGCUCAAACCUUGAGAAGUUUCCUGAGAUUUCAGAUGUUAUGGAGAAGCUAUCAGAGUUAUAUUUAGGUGGGACUGCAAUUAAAGAACUGUCUUCGUCAAUUAAUAAACUCACGGGUCUUCCUGCUUUGGACCUACGUGGCUGUCAAGAACUCAAGAGCCUGCCGAGGAGCAUUCAUAUGAGAUCUCUUCAAACCCUUAAUCUUUCUGGUUGCUCAAACCUUGAGAAGUUUCCUGAGAUUUCAGAUGUUAUGGAGAAGUUAUCAGAGUUAUAUUUAGGUGGGACUGCAAUUAAAGAACUGUCUUCAUCAAUUAAUAAACUCACGGGCCUUGCUACUUUGGACCUACGAGGCUGUCGAGAACUCAAGAGCCUGCCGAGCAGCAUUCAUAUGGGAUCUCUUCAAACCCUUAAUCUUUCUGGUUGCUCAAACCUUGGGAAGUUUACAGAAAUUUCAGAUGUUAUGGAGAAGCUAUCAGAGUUAUAUUUAGCUGGGACUGCAAUUAAAGAACUGUCUUCGUCAAUUAAUAAACUCACGGGCCUUACUGUUUUGGACCUAUCUGGGUGUCAAGAACUCAAGAGCCUGCCGAGCAGCAUUCAUAUGAGAUCUCUUCAAACCCUUAAUCUUUCUGGUUGCUCAAACCUUGAGAAGUUUCCAGAGAUUUCAGAUGUUAUGGAGAAGCUAUCAGAGUUAUAUUUAGAUGGGACUGCAAUUAAAGAACUGCCUUCGUCAAUUAAUAAACUCACGGGCCUUACUGUUUUGGACCUAUAUGGGUGUCAAGAACUCAAGAGCUUGCCGAGCAGCAUUCGUGUGGGAUCUCUUCAUACCCUUUUUCUUUCAGGCUGCUCAAAACUUGAGAAGUUUCAUGAGAUUUCAGAUGUUGUGGAGGAGCUAUCAGAGCUUCAUUUAGAUGGGACUGCAAUUAAAGAAUUGCCUUCGUCAAUUAAUAAACUCACAGGUCUUCUUACUUUGGACCUACGAGGCUGUCGAGAACUCAAGAGCCUGCCGAGCAGCAUUCAUAUGGGAUCUCUUCAAACUCUUAAUCUUUCUGGUUGCUCAAACCUUGAGAAGUUUACAGAGAUUUCAGAUGUUAUGGAGAAGCUAUCAGAGUUAUAUUUAGCUGGGACUGCAAUUAAAGAACUGUCUUCGUCAAUUAAUAAACUCACGGGCCUUAUUACUUUGGACCUGAAAGGUUGUCGAGAACUCAAGAGCCUGCCGAGCAGCUUUCAUAUGGGAUCUCUUCAAACCCUUAAUCUUUCUGGUUGCUCAAACCUUGAGAAGUUUCCAGAGAUUUCAGAUGUUAUGGAGAAGCUAUCAGAGUUAUAUUUAGAUGGGACUGCAAUUAAAGAACUGCCUUCGUCAAUUAAUAAACUCACGGGCCUUACUGUUUUGGACUUAUAUGGGUGUCAAGAACUCAAGAGCUUGCCGAGCAGCAUUCGUAUGGGAUCUCUUCAUACCCUUUUUCUUUCAGGCUGCUCAAAACUUGAGAAGUUUCCAGAGAUUUCAGAUGUUAUGGAGAAGCUAUCAAAGCUUUAUUUAGAUGGGACUGCAAUUAAAGAACUGCCUUCGUCAAUUAAUCAACUCAGGGGCCUUACUGUUUUGGACCUAUCUGGGUGUCUAGAACUCAAGAGCCUGCCCUGCAGCAUUCAUAUGGGAUCUCUUCAAACCCUUAAUCUUUCUGGUUGCUCAAAAUUUGAGAAGUUUCCAAAUAUUUCAGAUGUUAUGGAGAAGCUAUCACAACUUUAUUUAGGUGGGACUACCAUUAAAGAACUGACUUUGUCAAUUAAUAAACUCACGGGCCUUACUGUUUUGGAUCUAUCUGGGUGUCAAGAACUCAAGAGCCUGCCGAGCAGCAUUCGUAUGGGAUCUCUGCAAACCCUUAUUCUUUCAGGCUGCUCAAAAUUUGAGAGGUUUCCAGAGAUUUCAGGAAUGGAGAUGCUAUCAGAGCUUCAUUUAGAUGGGACUGCAAUCAAAGAACUGCCUUCAUCAAUUAAUAAACUCACGGGCCUUCGUCAUUUAGAUGGAGUCCAAUCACGUGAUUCUUGGGUACCAGGGCAGCAGCAUCGCAUCAGAAGGUGUGGAGUUCGUCUCUUUUAUGCCAAUAGUGAAGAGAUGCAUAACCAAAGCAUGACACAGCCUGACUAUCCAUCAUGAAAAUUCUGAAGCGGAAUUUCGUGCUUUUGGCAGAUCACUGGUAAGAGUUGCUCAUUCUAAGAGGAACCGUGAGGGGUGUUGCUAUAAUGCGGCUGAACAAAGUUGAGGUCAGGCCCGGCCCAGGCGCAGUGCAACAGGGGCAAUUGUCCAGGGCCCAAAGUUGAAUGGGGCACCCAAAAAACAAAAUCCAAAUAAUUAGGUAUAAAAAAAAAUUUGUCCAAAGCCCAAAAUAAAGGCUGUAGGCGAUAACUUGUCCAGGUUUUGGGGAUUAAAAAUCAAUAUAACAUAAAGGGUAUCUGAAGGGGACAAGUCGUCCAGGUUUUGGGCAUGGAGGAGAGGCAUAAGAUUCAAGUUUUUCAAAGGGAGCUCCCUCUCUGCUUGGAGCUUGUCACCCAACUGCCCAAGCCCAAGGUACUACGGAGAACACAAACCCUUCUCAAAUUUCAGCUUAAUUUUUGUGUUCUAAGUCGGAAGCUUCGUUUCUUUUGCUUGAAUUGUUCUGGUUUCUGUUUUCAAAAUUGGGGUUUUUUUUGUAGCUAUUGAGAGGUGCAAGCAGCAGAUUUCAGAUGCAACCGCAAAUUACCUGCAUGGACAAUCUAAGUGUUCUGAGCAGACUUCAAGUGAGGGGCAUGUUUUUGAGGAAUUCAUUCCAUUAACACGGAUUUCAUACAACUCCAGAUGCACCACUCGAAGAGGUAUAAAAAAAAGACUCCACCUUCAUCAAUUUUAGUAAAUUUUGUGACUGCCCUUUUGUUUGGUUGCUUAUAAAAUUUGAGGUGAAGAAGUGGAAAGUAUUGAUUUUUAGGUGUAGGGUAAUGGCAGGAGGAGCAAGUUAAAGGCUAUAGUGAUGGAGAUGAAGAGAAAUGGGGUGCUUUUCAGCCUUUCCAAAGGAAAAAAAAAGCAUUGGAAAGACAAAUGGACCGGUGGCUAAAGAACCUUCUUCGGCUCCGGCUACUAGUUCCACCACGGACACCGUGAGUGGAGACAGUGGUGGGAACAACAAGAACAAAGAGAAAGAUGGACAGGGAAACGAAGGCGAAACUGGUCACCGGAGUUGCACCGCCGGUUCUUGCAUGCUCUUCUCUUCAACAACUUGGUGGUUCACAUGGUAUGCAGUUGAGAUUAAUUUAGUGGGAUAUGUUAUUUUAUAUGAUGAUUGGAUGAAUAUGUGAUUGGAUUGUGAUGUAUUGGAUGUGUUUAAUGCGUUCUGCGUAUAUGUGAUUUUCCAUCUGUUUUUAAUCAUAAUUUGGUUGAUGUGAAAAAUUUUGCACAUACAUGAUAGAAAUUGGAAGGCAUUUUGCAUGCUACUAGUGAUAAUUUUUUUACACAUACAUGUGAUUAAGCUCGCAAAAUAUUUAUUUUAAACAUAUGUUUCUGUACUAAAAAGGGCACAUUUUGAACUUUCGCACUGGGCAUCAAAAAAACUCAGGACCGGCCCUGGUUGAGGUGAAACCCCCGACGUGGAGGAUUUAUAUCCUAAAAGAUUGGUACUUCCUGAUGGGGCAAAGGAAAACUGAAGAGAAUAAUUCCUGUGUGUUGGAUUUGACUGCUCAGUUCUGUUGGGUCUCGACCCUUUCUUACGCGGACCUAAAACCAAACUGUUGUGGCUCUUUAGUUGGCAUGUGCGGAUCACAUGCUAGGUCUUUUUAGCGCUCAUAAUAUAAAGCCUCACAUUGUGCAAUUUGGACGAGAGGUUGAACCGAAGCAGCUGCACUAGUAUGACGGGAAGAGGAGCCGAAACCCAAUAGAAGAGAGAAAUAAUUCGGAGCUGCUGCAUUUUUAUUUUUUUUUGGUAAGAGUGAAACCAGUUAGAGAUUGUUGUAGUUGCAGAGAGACAAAUAUUUUGUUUCUAAUUCGUUUAUUCGCUCAUCUAUUUGUGUGUAUUUGAGUGUAUUUUGGGUUUGAGUUUGAGAGCUUUCUUUGUAAUCUCGUUUUGUUUAUUAGUGGAACUUCCUCACUGUCCUUAAACUGGAUGUAGGUUUAUGCCGAACCAGUAUAAAUCUUUGUGUCAUUUUGAAUUGUUUGGUUUUUCAUAUUUUUUCGUAUUAGUUUAUUGGUUUCAAAUUAGCGCUUCCACACAACACUCUAAACCCAGUGAAGGUGGAGAGGAGCUUCUUGUAUUUGGAAGUGCCAAUCAGAUAAUUUGUCAUCCAAUUUGACAUUGUCAGGAAGUGGAGUGGAGAUUGUUGUAAUGUUAAUUCAACAUUAGAACAAGAGAAAUAGCUCGAUGUGCUGAAAUUGAAGAAUUCAGUUGCAAACAACACAUUUAUGUUGCUCAUCAGAACAAGAUAAAUUAGAAUAAUUAAGUUUUUAAUUGCCCAAUUAUUCCAUCCCAUAUGAAUUUAGAAUCUGGAGGACGUGUUUCUGCUUUGUUUUCAAAUGUCCUAAGCACUUUGUAGAGCUGUGGCAACUUUGCAGCCACAAGACAUCAAUACCAAUUACCAAGUACCCUUAAUUACUCUUCCAAAUGUCUCAUAUACUCUUCGUGUUGACGCGAACGAGAGAAUUUUCAAUGUGCUUGGCACACGGCUUGGUACAUCAAGUUUUAUAAUAUAAUUAGCUGGAAAUUUGAAAUAUUUUUUUAAUGAAUUGUAUCAUGACUCAUGGUGUUCGAGUAAUGUGCCGGCCACACAAAAAAAAUUCUUGACAUGAACACAAUCAAAGGCAUUGCUGUUAGUUACUCAUAAGAAUACAAAGGUUACAUGAAAGAAAAAGAUUAGACUUCUCAUUCCACGUUCAACUUAAAUGAAUUGCACACGAGUUACUUAGUUACACAAUUAUGUAAACGUACUAAAGUGUGCACAGCUUUCGGAUUAGGUGGGUUGGAUGUAGACACAAACUCUUAUUAACCAUUUUAAAUGGGUCAACACGAUUAUGCCCGACUCAAACAAAUUUAUUUUUUGUCUUUUCCAAGUCGAAUUGUCGAAUAUGUCUAAAAUUGUUACCUCUACUCUUUCUUGGCACUUUCUACCUAAAUUCGAGCAAAAACAAUGAAAGUUACAUCCGAACAAAAAUACAAUAAAAGAUACAUCAUCCAACAACUUUCAUAUUUUUAAUAGAAAAACACGCAUGUAAGUGGCCUUUACAAUGGUAGAGAAAAGUACUACGGUGGGAGCUAGCACCAUGGAUAGAGAUUUUCCAGCCACUGUGAAGCUCGGAAAUGGCAGGACUAUUACCGGGGUUUCGCUCUACAGGGGAAGGAUGAUGCUGUCAACAAACAAGCAAUACCCUGUUGUGUAUUUGGGAAGCAAUUCAACUAGUCCUAAUCCGAGCUCGCUGUGUUUGGAGGGGACGUUGGAUCGCCGAGUUGUGGCCGGAAAGAUUGUGAUUUGCGACCGUGGGAUUAGUCCUAGAGUGCAGAAGGGAGAGGUGGUGAAAGAAGCCGGAGGAGUUGGGAUGAUCUUGGCAAACACAGCUGCAAACGGAGAGGAGCUUGUGGCGGAUUGCCACCUUGUUCCGGCGGUUCCUGUGGGAGAGAACGAAGCAAAGGGAAUCAAGCAUUAUGCUUCAACAAGCCCGAGAGCCACCGCAACUCUAACAUUUCUUGGAACUAGAGUUGGGGUUAGACCGUCGCCUGUGGUGGCAGCGUUUUCAUCCAGAGGGCCAAAUCUGGUAAGCCUUGAGAUUCUCAAGCCGGAUAUGGUGGCACCAGGAGUGAACAUCCUCGCCGCUUGGACAGGCGCAUUAGGCCCGUCCAGCUUGCCAGCAGAUCGUAGAAGGGUGAAGUUCAAUAUACUGUCCGGGACUUCAAUGUCCUGCCCCCAUGUGAGCGGCAUUGCCGCUCUGCUCAAGGCAAGGCACCCGGAUUGGAGUCCGGCGGCAAUAAAGUCCGCCUUGAUGACAACCGCUUAUGUCCACGACAACACGCGAAAGCCUCUACAAGACUCCUCAGCAGCUUCAAUUUCAACCCCGUACGAUCACGGUGCAGGGCACAUAAACCCGGGGAGGGCUCUUGACCCGGGAUUGAUUUACGACAUUGAGGCGCAUGACUAUCUUGAAUUCCUCUGCACACAAAGGCUAACACCAACACAGCUCAAAGUUUUUACCAAGUACUCAAACAGAAGUUGCAAGAACAAUCUAGCCAGUCCCGGGGACUUGAACUAUCCGGCACUCUCGGUUGUGUUCCCGGAGAGAACAAAUGUUUCUGUUUUGACACUUCACAGAACUGUCACUAACGUUGGCCCUGCGGUUUCGAAUUACCACGCCAUUGUUUCACCGUUCAAAGGUGCUUAUGUGAAAGUCGAGCCUCGGACGCUGAAAUUCACCAAAGCCAAUCAGAAGCUGUCAUACAAAAUCAUCUUCACUACGAAAUCCCGGCAGGCAGUCCCGGAGUUCGGCGGGUUGGUGUGGAAGGAUGGAGUGCACAGGGUGAGAAGCCCCAUUGUUGUAGUGUGGCUGCCACCACUAUAAAUCCUGCACCGGAUUAAUUUUAAUGUGUGUUUUUAUUAAUGCUCUUUUGAAUAAACAAAUUUUCUGUAAUAGUUAGCAUCCUUCCUCUGCUUCUUGCUGUGAUCUUCUAGCUACUGUCAACCUUAGAACACAAGCGAAACAACGAUGUGUAGUGAAAACGUAGAUUACGCAAGUUCAAAUCACAUUGAUGUUGUUAAUUAGAAGAUUCAGAACUAGAUUAGAAUAAUUUCUUAAUUUGCUCAAUUUCUAUAUUGAUUCACAUGUUUCUGCACUAUUUUCAUGUCACGACUCACAAGCAUUUGGUAGGAGUUCUGGUAGUUUUUGCGAGAAUGACAAUUUCAGACAUGCACGAAACAAAACAAAUUUAAACACGACACGUUAUAGGACAUGAGAUUCACGAUAUUUGUAGCCGCAUAAAUAUGAAGAUUUUAUGGUAGGUUAUACCUUACCAAAAUUUCAACUUGUCCAAAGGAUUAAGUGCACUUGAUAUUCGAGAUGUCUCACUAAUUGUGUGAAUAUUUCAAUUCGAAUAUGUCUCCAGUUAUACUCAAGUUUUUCUCCGAACUGUUUGAGUACAAUUUGGAUCAAAUUCAAUACCGUCAUGAACAGCUUACAAACUAAACUCAAGAAAUGGGAUUACCAAUUUACCAGCAUUAACCUUUUUGUUUCUUUUGACGAAAAAAAAAAAAAUUUAAUGCUGGCGGGACGUGGGCCUAUUUGGACUCAUUCUGAUGGGCCUUCUAAAAAUUUAAAACCAAGCUAGUCCAAUUCGUAUUUGAAUUUCCCAAUACGUUGAAGAAUUAUUUUAGGAUGAUGUUAUCCAAACACUCAUUUCUUCCUUUCAUACACUUCUUUUGAUUUUAGGCAAUCGAAUCAAAUAAAUUGAAGAAGAUCAAAUGACAAAAUUAAUAAAAAUAUGUGAGAGGUAAAAAAUAUGUGUAAAUAGCACUACCCUUAUUUUAUUACUAGCUUCUUUCUUUUGCAUUUGAUUUUUUUUGGAUACUUUAUUCUUUCUUUUUUUAAAUUGGCUUAAUUUUAUAUUUAGAAUAAAUUCAACAAAAAAAAAACUAUUAACUUCUCAAUAAGAAGCGGUUAUUUCUUUUUAAUUUUUUAAUUACUAAAUUGUUAUUUAAAAUUUACUAGAAUAUGCUACGUACAAACUGUCACUUGUUGUGGUCUAUUUUUAUCUGACAGAGAGACUAAGGCCGUCGGCAGAGAAAGAGAGGAGAGAUGUGUGUUUGUAGAAUUGUAGGGGAAUGUAUGUGUUGUUAUCCCUCCUACAUUGUGCCUUUAUUUAUAGUAGUAAAUGGAGAGAAGAUAUUCCUUCUCCUCCAAGUAAUACAAGUUGUAAUAGGAAAGGAUAACUAGAAUCAAAUCUAAUAUAGGAUUUACACAAUCAUACUUAUUCUAGGAAUGUUUACAACACUCCCCCUUGAGUGUGCAAAUACUUAAGGUAGAUUCAGCAUCAUGCAAAAGUUGAGAAAGUCGACUCGUCGACAUUGAUUCAAAGGAACAACGCUUAUUCUCAAUAAGGUAGGAACUUGCAUAAGUAGUAAGUGUCACUAAAAAAACCCUAAGGCUAUGGCAAAAACCCGAGUAGGGACAAAAUUCAUAGUCUAAGGAAAAAUGCGUGAGAAAUGCAAAGUCAAAAGAAAUGUCUACAGGACGUCAUCAGGGAUAUGACCAGCCCAAGGUGGGUGCCUCGUUAAAACCUAGUUAGGUAGCAAAAACCCAGUGGGAAAAAUGCUUCUAAUCGUAGGGAAAAAGAGUACAUUAAGAUCAAGCAAGUAUCCAGAAGAUACUCCCCCUAAGUUUGACAUAAUUCCAAAGAGAAAUAGCAAAGUUACAACUCAGAAAGUUUAUGCAUACCAAUUCCAUGAGCAAGCUUCUGAAACGUCGCCUUCGGUAGUGAUUUGGUGAAGAGGUCGGCCAGAUUGUCUUGUGAUCGGAUUUGCAUGACUUCAAUCUUCUGAUGUUCUUGUUGUUGAUGUGUAAAAGAAGAACUUCGGCGCAAUAUGCUUGGUGUUGUCUCCUUUGAUGUAACCCUUCUUGAGCUGUUCGAUGCAAGCUGCGUUGUCUUCAAAAAUCGUCAUCGCGGCAUUAACGGCAUGAUGAAGAUCACAGGAGCUUCGAAUAUGACCCACUACUACUCUCAACCAAAAGCAUUCCCGAGUUGCUUCAUGUAAGGCGAGAAUUUCAGCAUGGUUAGACGAAGUGGCAACUAAGGUCUGUUUAGUUGACCUCCAAGAUAUUGUGGUGCCUCCAACGGUAAAGACAUAACCCGUUUGAGAACGCGUCUUGUGGAUCAGAUAAGUAUCCAGCGUCGGCAUAACCAACAAGGCGAGAAUCAACCCGACGAGCAUAGGGUGCGGCAUCACUCGAGGAUUCGUAGGGAUAGAAUAAGCCCAAAUCCGUAGUACCCUUAAGGUAACGGAAGAUGUCUUUCACGCCAGUCCAAUGUCUGCGUGUUGGUGCAUUAAUGUAUCUUGCCAAAAGAUUAACAGCGAAGGAGAUGUCGGGUCUAGUGCAUUGAGUUAAGUACAAUAAAGCGCUUAUCGCACUUAGAUAAGGAACUUCAGGUUCUAGAAUCUCUUCAUCAUCCUCCUUCGGACGGAAGGGAUCUCGCUUUGCAUCUAGCGUACGAACGACCAUAGGAGUACUCGAAGACUUCGCUUUAUCCUCAUUAAAACGGCGCAACACCUUUUGGGUGUAGUUCGAUUGAUGUACUAAGAUUUCAUCCGAACAAUGCUCUAUCUCGAGACCGAGACAGUAUCGAGUCUUACCUAGAUCUUUCAUCUCAAAUUCCGAGUUCAGGUGCGAAGCAGUUCUCGCUAGCUCUUCAGGAGUUCCGAUGAGAUUCAUGUCAUCGACAUAUACUGCAACAAUCGCAAAUCCGGAAUGUGACUUCUUAAUGAACACACAAGGGCAUAGUUCGUUGUUCACAUAUCCCUGACUAGUCAAAUACUCACUCAAACGGUUAUACCACAUUCUUCCGGAUUGUUUCAAACCGUAUAGUGAACGCCUCAGCCGAAUUGAGAGCGUGUUCCGGGGUUUGGACAUAUUUGAACCAGUCAAUGUAAGUCAUUCGGGAACUUUCAUAUAAAUUUCCGUAUCAAGAUCCCCAUAGAGAUACGCGGUUACUACGUCCAUCAGCUGCAUAUCCAGUUUUUCGGAAACUACCAAACUGAUAAGGUAUCGAAAAGUAAUCACAUCCAUAACGGGUGAGUAAGUUUCGUCAUAGUCAAUCCCGGGGCGUUGUGAGAAACCUUGUGCUACUAAUAAGUCUCAUUUUGCAUGCAUUUAUAUCUACCUUAUUGGGCGUCUUUGUGAUGUUUUUUUUAUUAAGCUAGUUGCAUUUUACAUUAUUUGGUGUUAGUGUGUAGCCAAGUGUGUAUUUGGAUCAAUGGGAAGGCAAAUGAAGUAAAAACAUUCCUUUUGGUAGCUGAGCAUUAUUCCAAAUGUGGAGAGGAUUCUAGGGAGUUAAUUUGAAGUCCAAAUGAAGAAUCUAGGAAACAUUUGGCUGCUGGAAUUUCAGGAAAGGAUGUGGAAGUGUUAAGUGGUGAAAUUCGGCCAUAUUGGGUGAUUCUAAACAAGGCAAAAACAUUGAAGUCAGAUUAUGUGGUUCUAACACCAAAACAUGCAUUCACAUGCAUGUUCACAACCUGGCCGUGCAUUCCAUUACCUUUCCAGCUCCCUUUUGCACCAAGAACAUGCACUUCCAUUACUUAAUUCACAUUAUGCCAUCCCAGCUCCCUCAUGCCCAUGCCGUGCACUGUCAUACCUUUUCCAGAUUUGUACAACCAAUUCCAGGUUGUCCAUUUCAGCUUUGCAGCCAAUACACAUGCAUGUUCAAUUAAAAUAGCUAUAUGCAUGCAUAUACACCUUGUGCCGUGCAUCCACCACCUCAGAAACUCACUCAUUCCAGCUCAUUUAUGCACUUCCAUCUCACAUGUGCAAUUCCAGCUCCAUUCUUAAUGAUGGCAGUGACAUUUCCCUUCUAUAAAAACCGUGCAAACUCACUUCUUUUGGGGGUUCUUCCAUUAUUUUGGGGGAUGAUUCACACAUUCUAAGCCGCUCCAUCUCUGUCCAUUUACUCUCCCAUUUGCAGAGAACAUCCAACCUUAAGCCGAUCCAUUUCCGUUUCAUCACACUUGGAGAAUCAACACCGAAGGCCACUCUUAAAGGAUUUCAGCAUCAGUUUUGCUUCAAGGGUUUCUUUUUAUUAAUUCUAUGUUCACUCAUGUUAUUUAUUAUUAUGUCCAACCUUUUGUAAACAUGAAGUGUAACUAAUCUCUCUCUAGGGAUUCGAUGUAGCCUUGCAAGAUUGCUAUGUAGUUAAUUCAGAAUUCCCAGUUAGUCUAUCUAUUUCUUGUUUCAUUCUCUGGUUUAAUUGUGACUUAGUGAGUUGAUUUUAAUGCUUGAUCAUCAUUUGAGUUAACCAUAGGUUGUUUAGCCAAGAUUAAAGCACACAUCAUGCAUAAUCUUGGUGGAUAUGUGAAUGAAUGAAGGGAAUGUUUUGCAAACAUCCUGCCGAGUGCUCCCUUGGGUUUUAUGAAAGUUUCUUGUGCAUUACAUGUUCUUGAUUAGGAACCAAAGUUGCACAUCACAAUUAGGUUCAUGAUUAGAGACAUUUGAUCAAAUCCACACAUCAUAUGGUUGAUCAUAUCCAUGUGAAACAAACUCAAGAAAUAGGUAGAUGACUGAGUAUAAACUGAUUUAACAAACAUGGCCUUAGGUUAGCAAUGGUAAAAUCGAAUCCCUAGCUUCAUUUCCAUUGGUACUAUUCCAUUCUAUUAGUUGUUGAUUCAUUUAUUUGUGUUCACUUCAUUUUCUUAUGUUUUUAAGUUACAACUACAAAAUCUGCCUACAUUGAUUAGUUUUAUUUCUCUAAUAGGAGCUUUUGCAAAACAAGUGGUUAUAUAAGAUCAAUUAGUCUCUGUGGAUUCGACACCCUUACUUGUGCCAUUAUACUAAACAUAUUCUAGCCCUAGCAAGGAAUAAAACAUCAACAGCUACAAGAUGAGCUUUGUAACGCACAAUUUCAUUCUUCUCAUUACGCUUCCGAACGAAAACCCACUUGGUACGUAUGACCAACGAUCGAGCAAUCAUUUGUAAACGCUUAAUGAAAGCCUCUGCCAGGCCGUUCUGGGUGUGAACAUGGGGUACAUGAUGUUCAACUUCAACCCCAACCGACAUGCAAUAGUCAUCAAAAGUUUUAGAUGUGAAUUCUCCAGCAUUAUCUAAUCGAAUAGAUUUGAUCAGAUAAUCAGGGUGGUGAGCCUUGAGCUUGAUAACCUGAGCCAACAGUUUAGAGAAUGCAGCGUUCAUUGUGGACAAUAAGCACACGUGUGACCAACGUGUAGAAGCGUCAACCAAAACCAUAAAAUAUCUAAAUGGUCCGCAGGGAGGUUGAAUCGGUCCACAAAUGUCCUCCUGAAUCCGUUGUAGAAAAAUGGAAGGAUUCGAACAAAUCUUGUCAUAAGAAGGCUUAGUAAUAAGCUUUCCCAUAGAACAUGUUUGACAUGCAAUUUCAUGGAUCGAACCUAAGCUUCGGGUUAGUGGAUGCCCGUGUGAAGUUUUGAGGAUACGGCGCAUCGCUAUUCGUCCAGGAUGUCCCAAACGAUCAUGCCAAAGUGUAAUUUCGUGCGCGGUCCCUGUGGUAGGGCCGGCCACAUAAUGGCAUUCUAUGGGGCAUAUGGUCGUAGUAUACAGACCACUCGGGUUACGCUCCAUCUUCUCUAGAAUACGCUUCUGGCCAUAUUCGUAGGAAGUUACGCACAGAAAUUCAACUCCGUUUUCUACGUGGGUUUCAGCGUGGUAAUGGUUAUCUCUAAUGUCCUUGAAACUUAGUAACGUUCUUCCGGAACGUGGAGAAUAGAGUGCCUCAGCAAUGGUCAAGAUUGUACCAUUGGACAACAUUAUACGUGCCUUACCGUAUCCUUCAAUCAGGUUGGAUGGGCCUGAGAGGGUUGUCAGAGGUGCAUUCUUAGGUACGAAGUUAGUGAAAUAGAUGCGUUCACGCAAAACAGUAUGUGUGGUUGCACUAUCUGCCAGACAACUAACUUUCCCACUAGUCAUACCUAGAAUGAAAAAUUAAUUUGAAUCGGUCACAUGCAUAAAAGUUUAUAAAAACAAGUAUCAAUUCAAAAUAAUUUCAUUUAUUAAAAAAAAACCUUAAUAUCCAAAAUAAAAACCGCCAACUAAUAAUCCAAAACAUAAAGGAAAAUUGUUCAAAAUCAACCAAAAAAACAAGUUGGGGUUCGGCCACUAGGUGGAAUUCGGCCCCAAUUGUCUUAUUUUAACUGAAAAAAUAAGUCUAUGUCUAAGAUUCUAAUCUUCCAUAGGAGUGGUAUCCUCCUGAAAGUCAGAAACCUCCAUCUUUGUAGUCUCCGGUGCGUCCACUUGCAUGAAGUUUGAUUCAAACUUCUUACGACGAGAAUGAUAUUCAUCUACAACCUUCUUGGGAGCACGGCAAACACGGGACCAAUGGUCCUUUGAACCACAACGAUAGCAUAUAUCGUCAUUCAUUGUGGAAGGUGCUUUGCCCUUAUUCUUGAAGUUCGGGCCCUUAGGAGCGAGGUUUGGGCGCUUCGGGGCUUUGUUUCCUCCCAGAGACCUCCAAAGCGGUGAAGUCGAGUUUGUUCAAAUUCGACAUGUUCCUAUCACAAAAUAGAUGGACAAGAUGUGGUUAGUGUAAUGGAGAAAAAUCAAUCCAUUCACAUAGGAGUAGAACAUACAGGUUCUAAUAGACAUGUAUUGGUUUAAUUUCGCAUGAAAAACUUCGGGUUUCAUGGGUGAUAUGUUUAAGUGAAAACUUCAGGUUUUCAAAUAAGGCAUGUUUAUAAGAAACUUCGGGUUUCAAAGUAAUUAUGAACUAAAGGUUCAUAUAUUCCUGCAGGCAAACACAAAUAUAUAUGCAAACAAAUAUGCAACAAAUAUUGUAUGCAAAAAUAUUGUAUAAUGAUAAUUGAAUGAAUGUUAUUUUGGUCUUCGAGGCCAAAUUAAAGUGUGGGUGAAAAUAUAAAAACCCAUAUUAUUUAAAAAAAAUAUAUAUUAAAUAAUAAAAUCUCGGGGCCUAAAAAUAUAGGCCGAGAACCCUCGGGUGGGGCUACAGGCCCACGGGGAGAGCAGGGGGUUGGGCUGCUGCGGGCAGACCCCCCAAAACAUAUUUUUUUCACAAAGGGCUGCAUCAAGCAGGCCCAAAAGAAAACUAAAAAAAUCUUUUUUUUUUCUUCAGACUGGGCCGCUGAAAGCGAGCCCAGAAACAAACAAAAUUUGUGUUUUUUUUUCGCGCGGGCCGCUUUAGGCUGGCCCAAAAAAAAAUCUCUUUUUUUUCGUACGGGCCAAGAGGCUGGAGCCUACUAGGGCUCGGGUUGCAGGUAGCAGACACCCCAGCGACGCUGGGUGUGCUUGGCCGAGGAAAAAGGCCGGAAAAACUAGGACGACGCCACUGCAGGUGGUUGUCCUUGGUGUGUGCAAGCCAUGGUUCGUCGGAGAACCAAGUAUCUAUCGACGGAGAUGAAAUGUCGACAUGAUAUCAAAACCCUACAAAUUGAAAUCGAAUUUUCAAAAAAUUAUGACGAGAUUCCGUUGAAUCUCAGUUCAAUUGUCGACAUGGGACGACUUCAGGUCGUCGAGAAUAUGAACCAAAGGUUCAAGGCUGUGGCUGCAGGCCAUGCCAUGGUCGGGGGACACCAGGAAGGGUGUCAGGAUUUUGGGUUGGGGGUUUGGCUUUGUGGGUUUUUUCUGGGAACAAGGAGAGCUGCAUGCUCUCUGCUUGCGUGGAGACCCCAUCUGCAGGAUGGUGGUCACGGGUUCUAAAGAACCGAGGUCCCAAUCGCAAAAAAAAAAUGUUUUUUUUUUCAAUUCAAUUAUAUUAUAUGCAUGUAUAAUUUUAAUGAAUCACAUAUUUACGUUGAUGCAUAUGCAAAUAAUAGUUUCAAUGCAUGUACAUAUGUAAGAUUCAAUUCAUGACAAAUAUCAAAUUCACAUAAUUGUAGCAAUUUUGGUUAUGAAGCAUACACAAUUUAUGUAGAAUCUAAAAUACGUAAAACGUAAAGUUGGGUCAUGCAUCAUGGUGAAUGUUCAUGCUAUCAGGGCUUACAAAAUAUCGAGUUAAAAACCGUUGUUUGGAAAGAACCUGAUUGCGUGAUGAUAUGGAUGAACUGGUUUGAUGCAGAAAAAAAAUCUCCAACGUCAGAUUCCUAAGCGCAGCGGUAGGAGCGUGCUGAUAACGUGUUGUGGUCUAUUUUUAUCUGACAGAGAGACUAGGGCCGGCGGCAGAGAAAGAGAGGAGAGAUGUGUGUUUGUAGAAUUGUAGGGGAAUGUAUAUGUUGUUAUCCCUCCUACAUUGUGCCUUUAUUUAUAGUAGUAAAGGGAGAGAAUAUAUUCCUUCUCCUCCAAGUAAUACAAGUUGUAAUAGGAAAUGAUAACUAAAAUCAAAUCUAAUCUAGGAUUUACACAAUCAUACUUAUUCUAGGAAUGUUUACAACAUCACUUAAUUUUUUGUUUUGUUUUUAAAGUUAAAGCAGAGCAGCAAGAGAGUGAGAGAUAACGUAAGAGUGAGGAGAGAGAGUAUUAUUUUUUUAUUUUUUAAAAUAGAUAUGUUAAAAUUACCUAUAAGUGGGGUUUGAAUUAAAAAUAACAAAAUUUUGUUUUGUAAAAUUACGUUAUUGCCUUUAACGUUUUUAUUGUAAUAAUAAUUUUUUCAUCUUCUUUUAAUUGACAAAGAUAAUUCUAUUAAUAUGUAGUUUAGUUAAGAUAAACAAAAAACCUUUUUGGCAUAAGUGAUGUUCCAACAAAGUUUAUUAUUAUUUUUCUUUUUUUUCUUUCCGUUUUUCUUCUUAUUUUUUUUGCUAAUUUUCCUGGUUCGUUUAAUUUUUUUUACAAAAAUACCCUGUGACACCUUGUGACUUUAAAGUAAAGUUCUGGCUUCCUAAUGACAAAAAUAACUUUUUUAACAAACGAUAUUAUUUGUACUAAGAGAAAGGGUGAGCUAAGCCUUACAAUGACCUAGCAAUAAUGUGGUUCAAAUUCACCUUUAGCGAUAAUUGAAACUAAAAAUUAGAAGUGAAAAUGAAUACUAUUAGACCAGAAUAUUAAGUGGUAACAGUGAAGAUAAAUUAGUAAUAUUAUUAUUUUUAUGUACAAACCUAGUAGAAAGAAACUCAUUAACUUCCCGAACAUUUUUCAGAGUAUUCUCUCUUUCCAAUUUUAUAGAAUUACAUUUUUUUUUUUGAGAUGGUGCUAGGAAACCACCUAGUAAAAAGAAACUUAUUUUCGUUGACUCAUUUGACUCUCCGACGAUUUUACAGAGUUUUUUUCUUUCAAAUUUUAUAGAAUUAUAUAUUUUUAAUAAUGUUAAGGAAAUCAAAAUUUUAAAUCAAAUUUACAAGUUAAAUAAUAUUUCACCAAUUAAAAACAUCACGUUAAUCGACAUUCAAUGAAUAAUCUAAUCUCUACUAAUUAAUAAAACUUUUUUUGUCAACCAAAAGAGGGUGAAAAGACAAAUUUGUCACAUCCUGGCCCGGGUCCACCACUUUCCGGGCCCGUUCCACCAUCGUAGUACGAUAUUGUCUGCUCUGGGCUUACCAUUCCCUCACGGUUUUGUUUUUGGGAACUCACGAGCAACUUUCUAGUGGGUCAUCCAUCCUGAGAGUGCUCUGACCUCCUUCUCGCUUAACUUCAGAGUUCCUAUGGAAACCGAAGCUAGUGAGCUCCCAAAAAGCCUCGUGCUAGGUAGAGAUGAGAAUAUACAUUUAAAGAUCACUCCCCUGGGCGAUGUGGGAUGUUACAAUCGACCCCCUUAGGGGCCUGACGUCCUCGUUGACACACUUCCGGCCAGAGAUUGGCUCUGAAACCAUUUGUCACAUCCCGGCCCGGGUCCACCACUUCACGGACCCGUUCCACCACCGUAGCAUGAUAUUGUCCGCUUUGGGCUUACCAUUCCCUCACGAUUUUGUUUUUGGAAACUCACGAGCAACUUCCCAGUGGGUCACCCAUCCUGGGAGUGCUCUAGCCUCCUUCUCGCUUAAUUUCAGAGUUCAUACGGAACUCGAAGCCAGUGAGCUCCCAAAAGGUCUCAUGCUAGGUAGGGAUGAGAAUAUACAUUUAAGAAUCACUCUCCUGGGCGAAGUGGGAUAUUACAAAUUAGUCUUCUAUCACAAAAAAAAAAUGAUGGUCAAUAAUGUAAUUUCACAAGUCCAAAUUUUACUUUUUUUUAUUGAAGUUUCACCUACGAAUGAUGUUAAAAUACCUCUAAUAUUUAUAUAAAAAAAACCAAAAAAAAAAAAACCUCCCACUCCUCCACGUUCUCUCUCUCUCUUCCUCUUUCUCCUUCUCAUUUUCUAAAAAAAAAUGUGUUCAAAUACACAAAAUGUGUAGGCAAAUACUAGCCAUCUAUAACUACAACUUAAUUUAUAAAUUUAACUUAAAAAAUUUAGUUUUCUUAAAAUUACAUUUUUUUUUUGUUGUUUUAAUAUUUCAUUAAAACAAACAAAAAAAUCACAACGGAAACGAAACAAGCCCCCAAAAACAGAGAUUAGGCCCAAACAGAAACAAAGCUCAAAGAAGAAGAAAACCCUAGCAGCAGAGAAACUGUUGAAGUCGUCGUCCCCAUCGCCGCACUGCUGAGCCAAACGGAUGAACGGCCGCAGGGAUCCAGAAGAAGAUAAGGUCAAGCAAAAAACCUCCCAACACAGAACCUCCAACAGAUGCACGAGAUAAACCAAAAGACAGCCCAAAAAGUGCAGGACACGAAUGCUCCAUCAUCCUCCACGAACCCAACAUCGCCGCACCGGUGAGCCAAACAGAAUCAUAUCUUUGGGUACAAUUUUUCCAGCCAAUCGUUUAACUCCCAACUCCAAAAGCUGACGCUCAAUCGGCCAUUUCAGCUUUUACGUUGCAUUAGGCGAGUCGGUAGCUGACCAUCUGCUGUGGAUAUUGUCCCUGUCAGAUGUCAAUGGCUGCUCCUUCCUCUUCCUCAUUGAAAUACAACGUCUUCCUGAAUUUCAGAGGCGUAGACACUCGCAAGAUCUUCGUCGGCCAUCUCUACAGAGCUCUGGAUCAGAAAUUAAUCACCUUCAUCGACGCCGAAGAGAUCAGAAAAGGCGACGAUCUUUUGCAGCUCCUCUCAGCUAUCGAAGAGUCGAGGAUUUCGAUCGUGGUUUUCUCCCAGAACUACGCUUCUUCGACGUGGUGCUUGAAAGAACUGGUCAAAAUCCUGGCGUGCAUGGACGCAAAGAAGCAGAUAGUGGUGCCGAUUUUCUACGAAGUUGAUCCAUCUGAAGUUCGUAAGCAAAAGAAAAUUUUUGCAGAAGCUUUUGCUCAACACGAACGCGAAUCGAACGCCGACAUGGAAGAGGUGGAGAGCUGGAGGUCCGCGGUAACCAGAGCUGCCAAUUUAUCCGGCUGGGAUUCGCGAAAAUACGAGUAAUUACUGUUCGAUUAUAUUCUUAAUUACUUAUGAAUUGAGAUUUUUAUAGCAUUUAGUUUAAUUCGGUGCUGUUUUUCGUAUUACACAGGGAUGAUGCCAAGCUUAUUGAGGAAAUUGUGGAUGACAUAUAUAAGAGAUAUAUCCAAGUCUCGCCAAGCAAAGAUAAUGGCUUGGUUGGAAUGGAUUACCACAUAGAUGCAGUGAAUUCACUAUUACGUCCUGGGGUGGAUGAUGUUUUCACUGUUGGAAUAUGGGGUAUGGGAGGUAUAGGCAAAACCACCAUCGCUCGCGCUGUUUAUGAUGGAAUCGCAUGUCAAUUUGAAGCUUGCUGCUUUCUCGAAAAUGUCAAGGAAGGCUUCUCGAAGAAUGGUGCAGUACAUAUGCAAGAAAUGCUUCUUUCUAGAAUCUUGAAGCAGGAAAAGGUGCAGAGUUUAGGCACGUUGGAAAGGCUACAAAGGCUACAAAGGAAAAAAGUUUUCAUUGUUCUUGAUGACGUUGAUGAAUUAUCCCAAAUCGAAGCCUUACUUGGAAAGCAGCAUUCAUUUGGUGGUGGAAGUCGGGUCAUUAUAACAACUAGAGAUAAACAAUUAUUAAGUGGAGCUGGUGCUGUAUAUAAGCCCGAGAACUUAAGUGAGCCAGAAGCUCUUAAACUCUUCUACCAGUAUGCCUUCAGAACAAUCCAACCCACCCGAAAUUAUGGUCAGCUCUCAAGGCGUGCCAUACAAUAUGCCCAAGGUCUGCCUUUAGCACUCAAAGUGUUGGGAGCUUUUCUUGAUAACAAAACUGUGCCCGAGUGGGAAGAUGAGUUGGAAAAAAUAAGGAAAAUCCCGCAAAAGGGAAUUCAUAAUGUGCUUAAAACGAGCUUUGAUGGACUAGAUGAGUCAGACAAGGACAUCUUUCUAGAUAUUGCAUGUUUCUUGAAAGGAAUGGAUAUAGACAGUGCAAAAAAAAGUCUGGACAGUUGUGGCUUAUAUCCCCAUCGUGGAAUAAGAGUUCUAAUCGACCGAGCUCUCAUAUCUGUGUCAAAGUGGGGGGAACUGGUGAUGCAUGAUUUACUAGAGGAAAUGGGUCGGGAAAUCGUUCGCCAAGAAUGUAUCAAAGAGCCUGGGAGAAGAAGUAGGUUGUGGAGUUAUGAAGAUGUUCGUCAUGUGCUGACUCAAAAAACAGUGAGAUAUCUUUCUCUUAUGCAAUGUUUCGUAGAAAGCUUCAGCUUUCGACGAAAAUCUAUUUUAUAGCAAACAUGCAUUGUUUAUAAUAUUCAAUAAGGUUCUUUGUGUUUUCCUUCACUUUAAUUUACAUUGUUGGUUUAUCCAGGCUACAGAAGCAAUUGAAGGCAUAAUCCUGGAUUCAGCAAUCUUUAAAGAGAGAUGCUCAAAUACUGAAGCAUUUGUUAGUAUGACAAAACUAAGACUGCUCAUGAUACGUGAUGGUUACUUUGACGAAUAUGGGUUUGUAUCCGAGGAUUCAUUUGACAGUCAAACUUCAACUGAAGCAGAAGAUGAGCUUGCAUUCGGGGAUUCAUUUGACAAUCGAGCUCCACAUGAUUGCUUCAUAAAACACUGGAUUGCGGACUUAAAGUUCCAAAGUUCUCAGUUGAGGUGUCUCAUCUGGCGUGGUUGCCCCCUCAAGUCUUGGCCAUCCAACUUCCAGUUCAAGAAUCUUGUAAACCUUGACAUGAGCAAUAGUCGCAUCGAACAACUUUGGACAGGAGCUGAGGUACGAUUUUUCAUUUACGUAAAUAUAUUUAUUUUCAAUGUUUAGGUUCUGAGAUGUGUUGUGCAUGUUUUCCUGUACUUUUUAACAGCCUCUGGAAAAGUUGAAAUUCAUCAAUUUAAGUUAUUGUGAAAGCCUUAAGAAAACCCCCGACUUCACAAAGGCUACAAGUCUUAAGGAACUAAAUCUCAAAGGUUGUACAGAGUUAUAUGAGGUUGACCCAUCCAUUUCAGCUCUGAAAAACCUUGCUAUAUUGAAUCUAGGAGACUGUGAAAAUCUUAAGAGCCUUCCGGGCAUCAUUCGUAUGGGAUCUCUUCAAACCCUUGAUCUUUCUGGUUGCUCAAACCUUGAGAAGUUUCCUGAGAUUUCGGAAGUUAUGGAGGAGCUGUCAGAGCUUUAUUUAGUUGGGACUGCAAUUAAAGAACUGCCUUCUUCAAUUAAUAAACUCACAGGCCUCACUGUUUUGGACCUAUCUCAGUGUCGAGAACUCAAGAGCCUGCCGAGCAGCAUUCAUAUGGGAUCUCUUCAAACCCUUAAACUUUCUGGUUGCUCAAACAUUGAGAAGUUUCCAGAUAUUUCAGAUGUUAUGGGGAAUCUAUCAAAGUUAUAUUUAGAUAGCACUGCCAUUAAAGAACUGCCUUCGUCAAUUAAUAAACUCACGGGCCUUACUUUUUUGGACCUAAGAGGCUGUGAAAAUCUUAAGAGCCUUCCGGGCAUCAAUCAUAUGGGAUCUCUUCAAACCCUUAAUCUUUCUGGUUGCUCAAACCUUGAGAAGUUUCCUGAGAUUUCGGAAGUUAUGGAGGAGCUGUCAGAGCUUUAUUUAGUUGGGACUGCAAUUGAAGAACUGCCUUCUUCAAUUAAUAAACUCACGGGCCUUACUCUCUUGGACCUAAGACGCUGUGAAGAACUGAAGAGCCUGCCGAGCAGCAUUCAUAUGGGAUCUCUUCAAACUCUUAAUCUUUCAGGUUGCUCAAUGCUUGAGAAGUUUCCAGAUAUUUCAGAUGUUAUGAAGAAACUAUCAAGGUUAUAUUUAGACAAGACUGCAAUUAAAGAACUGCCUUCGUCAAUUAAUAAACUCACAGGCCUCACUGUUUUGGACCUAUCUCGGUGUCGAGAACUCAAGAGCCUGCCGAGCAGCAUUCAUAUGGGAUCUCUUCAAACCCUUAAUCUUUCUGGUUGCUCAAACCUGGAGCAGUUUCCAGAUAUUUCAGGUGUUAUGGAGAAGCUAUCAGAGCUUUAUUUAAACGAGACUGCAAUUAAAGAACUGCCUUCGUCAAUUAAUAAACUCACAGGCCUCACUGUUUUGGACCUAUCUCGGUGUCGAGAACUCAAGAGCCUGCCGAGCAGCAUUCAUAUGGGAUCUCUUCAAACCCUUAAUCUUUCUGGUUGCUCAAACCUGGAGCAGUUUCCAGAUAUUUCGGGUGUUAUGGAGAAGCUAUCAGAGCUUUAUUUAGACGAGACUGCAAUUAAAGAACUGCCUUCGUCAAUUAAUAAACUCACGAGCCUUACUAUUUUGGUCCUAAGAGGCUGUCGAGAACUCAAGAGCAUGCCAAGCAGCAUUCAUAUGGGAUCUCUUCAAACCCUUAAUCUUUCUGGUUGCUCAAACCUGGAGCAGUUUCCAGAUAUUUCAGGUGUUAUGGAGAAGCUAUCAGAGCUUUAUUUAGACGAGACUGCAAUUAAAGAACUGCCUUCGUCAAUUAAUAAACUCACAGGCCUCACUGUUUUGGACCUAUCUCGGUGUCGAGAACUCAAGAGCCUGCCGAGCAGCAUUCAUAUGGGAUCUCUUCAAACCCUUAAACUUUUUGGUUGCUCAAACUUUGAGAAGUUUCCAGAUAUUUCAGAUGUUAUGGGGAAGCUAUCAAAGCUUUAUUUAGGUGGGACUGCCAUUAAAGAACUGCAUUCGUCAAUUAAUAAACUCACGGGCCUUACUGUUUUGAACCUAAGAGGCUGUCGAGAACUCAAGAGCCUGCCGAGCAGCAUUCAUGUAGGAUCUCUUCAAACCAUUAUUCUUUCGGGCUGCUCAAUGCUUGAGAAGUUUCCAGAUAUUUCAGAUGUUAUGGAGAAGCUAUCAGAGCUUCAUUUAGAUGGGACUGCUAUUAAAGAACUGCAUUCAUCAAUUAAUAAACUCACGGGCCUUACUAUUUUGAACCUAAGAGGCUGUCAAGAACUCAAGAGCCUGCAGAGCAGUAUUCAUAUCGGAUCUCUUCAAACCCUUAAUCUUUCUGGUUGCUCAAACCUUGAGAAGUUUCCAGAGAUUUCAGAUGCUAUGGAGAAUCUAUCAGAGUUAUAUUUAGAUGGGACUGCCAUUAAAGAACUGCCUUCAUCAAUUAAUAAACUCACGGGCCUUACUGAUUUGAACCUAUCUUGGUGUCAAGAACUCAAGAGCCUGCCGAGCAGCAUUCAUAUGGGAUCUCUUCAAACCCUUAUUCUUUCGGGUUGCUCAAUGCUUGAGAAGUUUCCAGAUAUUUCAGAUGUUAUGGAGAAUCUAUCAGAGUUAUAUUUAGAUGGGACUGCCAUUAAAGAACUGCCUUCGUCAAUUACUAAACUCACGGGCCUUACUGUUUUGAACCUAUCUGGGUGUCAAGAACUCAAGAGCCUGCCGAGUAGCAUUCAUAUGGGAUCUCUUCGAACCCUUAUUCUUUCGGGUUGCUCAAUGCUUGAGAAGUUUCCAGAUAUUUCAGAUGUUGUGGAGAAGCUAUCAAGGUUAUAUUUAGAUGGGACUGCCAUUCAAGAACUGCCUUCGUCAAUUAAUAAACUCACGGGCCUUACUGUUUUGGACCUAUCUGGGUGUCAAGAACUCAAGAGCCUGCCGAGCAGCAUUCAUA